GAUCGGGAGAGACCGCGCAAGCGGCGCCGAAGGGGAACGCAGAAGCUCUCAGGCAAAAGGACCGGUU
rnacentral:ncRNA from 1 species